GACGAACGCUGGCGGCGUGCUUCAGGCAUGCAAGUCGAACGGGUGUCUACCUUCGGGUAGCACACUAGUGGCGGACGGGUGAGUAACGCGUUAGCAACCUGCCCAAAGGUGGGAAUAACUAACCGAAAGGUUAGCUAAUACCGCAUGUGAUAGCUGGUUCUUGGACUGGUUAUGAAAGGCUUCGGUCGCCUUUGGAGGGGCUUGCGUCAGAUUAGCUUGUUGGUGGGGUAAUGGCCACCAAGGCGACGAUCUGUAGCUGGUCUGAGAGGAUGGUCAGCCACAC
rnacentral:rRNA from 1 species